rnacentral:rRNA from 1 species
UGCAGUCGAGCGACAGAUAAGGAGCUUGCUCCUUUGACGUUAGCGGCGGACGGGUGAGUAACACGUGGAUAACCUACCUAUAAGACUGGGAUAACUUCGGGAAACCGGAGCUAAUACCGGAUAAGAUUUUGAACCGCAUGGUUCAAUAGUGAAAGACGGCCUUGCUGUCACUUAUAGAUGGAUCCGCGCCGUAUUAGCUAGUUGGUAAGGUAACGGCUUACCAAGGCAACGAUACGUAGCCGACCUGAGAGGGUGAUCGGCCACACUGGAACUGAGACACGGUCCAGACUCCUACGGGAGGCAGCAGUAGGGAAUCUUCCGCAAUGGGCGAAAGCCUGACGGAGCAACGCCGCGUGAGUGAUGAAGGUCUUCGGAUCGUAAAACUCUGUUAUCAGGGAAGAACAAACGUGUAAGUAACUGUGCACGUCUUGACGGUACCUGAUCAGAAAGCCACGGCUAACUACGUGCCAGCAGCCGCGGUAAUACGUAGGUGGCAAGCGUUAUCCGGAAUUAUUGGGCGUAAAGCGCGCGUAGGCGGUUUUUUAAGUCUGAUGUGAAAGCCCACGGCUCAACCGUGGAGGGUCAUUGGAAACUGGAAAACUUGAGUGCAGAAGAGGAAAGUGGAAUUCCAUGUGUAGCGGUGAAAUGCGCAGAGAUAUGGAGGAACACCAGUGGCGAAGGCGACUUUCUGGUCUGUAACUGACGCUGAUGUGCGAAAGCGUGGGGAUCAAACAGGAUUAGAUACCCUGGUAGUCCACGCCGUAAACGAUGAGUGCUAAGUGUUAGGGGGUUUCCGCCCCUUAGUGCUGCAGCUAACGCAUUAAGCACUCCGCCUGGGGAGUACGACCGCAAGGUUGAAACUCAAAGGAAUUGACGGGGACCCGCACAAGCGGGGAGCAUGUGGUUUAAU